GACUCAUAGACCUAAGAACAUAGGAAGAAGAGAUGUAACAUCAACAGAAAGGCAAAAGGUCUCUGAUUAAAAGUCACCACCUCAGCGAAGCCUUCCCUAACAAAAUCCAAGUAACUGGUAUCCUUUUCAAGUUAUCCUCUUUCAUUGCAUGCUAUAUUUUAUAUUAUUCUAUAUUAUUUCCUUGUGCUAAAAUCUCGUGUUUUAAUAGUAUCCUUAUUUGUUGAUUCACUUGUCAUUUCUCUGCUGUCCCCCUAACCUGUCAUCUCCAUUAAAAUGACAAGGUCCUGUUUUGUUCAUUAUAGUAUAAUAACCAGUGCUAAUUACAAUGCCAAGCAUAUUAAAAAUUAUUAAUAAAUACUUAUAAAAUGAAUGAAUUGAACUUCUGUGAAUUUGGUUUUAUCACCUAUCAGAUGGAAAUACUUUCCUUAUCAAUUGCUAUGAGAAUUAAAUGUAAUAACUUCCAGGUCUAGUCCUUUUGUCUCAUGAACAUCCAUUUAAAUAUUUAAGAACACC
rnacentral:lncRNA from 10 species